UUGGUGCCUUCGGGAACUCUGAGACAGGUGCUGCAUGGCUGUCGUCAGCUCGUGUUGUGAAAUGUUGGGUUAAGUCCCGCAACGAGCGCAACCCUUAUCCUUUGUUGCCAGCGGUCCGGCCGGGAACUCAAAGGAGACUGCCAGUGAUAAACUGGAGGAAGGUGGGGAUGACGUCAAGUCAUCAUGGCCCUUACGAGUAGGGCUACACACGUGCUACAAUGGCGCAUACAAAGAGAAGCGACCUCGCGAGAGCAAGCGGACCUCAUAAAGUGCGUCGUAGUCCGGAUUGGAGUCUGCAACUCGACUCCAUGAAGUCGGAAUCGCUAGUAAUCGUGGAUCAGAAUGCCACGGUGAAUACGUUCCCGGGCCUUGUACACACCGCCCGUCACACCAUGGGAGUGGGUUGCAAAAGAAGUAGGUAGCUUAACCUUCGGGAGGGCGCUUACCACUUUGUGAUUCAUGACUGGGGUGAAGUCGUAACAAGGUAACCGUAGGGGAACCUGCGGUUGGAUCACCUCCUUACCUUAAAGAA
rnacentral:rRNA from 1 species